AAGCAUUACAACUCUUUUAGAAUUUGUCUAGCAGGCUUCCUGACUUGCUCAAAGGUCCCCU
ensembl:snRNA U7 U7 small nuclear RNA